rnacentral:tRNA from 1 species
GGGCGCUUGGCGCAGAGGUAGCGCGCACGCUUCGCAUGGACAUUGUAUUUGCGUGCGGUCCUGAGUUCAAUCCUCAGAGCGUCCA